rnacentral:rRNA from 1 species
UAGGGAAUCUUCCGCAAUGGACGCAAGUCUGACGGAGCAACGCCGCGUGAGUGACGAAGGUUUUCGGAUCGUAAAACUCUGUUGUGAGGGAAGAACAAGUACCAAGUAACUACUGGUACCUUGACGGUACCUCACCAGAAAGCCACGGCUAACUACGUGCCAGCAGCCGCGGUAAUACGUAGGUGGCAAGCGUUGUCCGGAAUUAUUGGGCGUAAAGCGCGCGCAGGCGGUCCCUUAAGUCUGAUGUGAAAGCCCACGGCUCAACCGUGGAGGGUCAUUGGAAACUGGGGGACUUGAGUGCAGAAGAGGAAAGUGGAAUUCCACGUGUAGCGGUGAAAUGCGUAGAGAUGUGGAGGAACACCAGUGGCGAAGGCGACUUUCUGGUCUGUAACUGACGCUGAGGCGCGAAAGCGUGGGGAGCAAACAG